rnacentral:lncRNA from 1 species
UUUAGUGGUAACAUAACAUAUAAUGUUAUCAUUAACGGGUAACAAGAAAUAUUUUAAUAAAAUUGAAAUUUAUGAAUACCAAAAUUAACAAAAUAAAAUCACAUUAAAUCAUAGGACUAAAACAAUAUUAUAUACUCUUCAAAUUAUAAUUAAUUUGUACGCAUAUAAUCCAAGUUUAUAAUUUAUGUGGUCUUUGGUGUUUCGCCUUACAGCCAGAAAAUUAAGAGAGACUAAGGAUGAAUUAGCUCCAGUUUUGACGACUGAGAAGAGCCAUGAAAAUCAAUUUAAGCCAAACCAAGGAGGGGGAGGGGAACAAGAUCUUGGUGACUUGGCUACAAUGGACUACACUCCUGCAAAAAAGAAUCCUCCAAUUCACAAUUAAUUAUUAGCUUUUUUGUUUUCAUUUUUGUUAGGGAAAGCACCAUAUCCACAGUGCUUUUUCUGGAAUUCUGGACUUUGAAGCUAGGAAGUUCCACACUUAGUUGUUUUGAGCAAGCACCAGUGUAGCUGCUGCGUAAUCAUAUAUAAAUUUAGAAAUUUAGAAGUUAGAACUUAUAUGUAAAUGGUUUUUGAGAUAAGAUAAUAUGUUGAGGGGGCAUAUUUAUUAUUACUGAGAAAAGUUUAUAGAAUUUGUAGAAACAGAUGCAUAAUAUAUUCAUCGUCAAUAUUAUUUUUCCUCAGAAUCGCGUUAUAUUUCCCUAUAGAGUACAUCUCAAGUAAUUAACUGGAGUUAUUCUUGAUUAAAGAAGAUAUAUAAUCAGCACGCUAGCUAUAAACAAUUUAAAAGAGAAGCCACGGUGGAGAAUUAAUCAACUUGAAGCUUUAAUUUCUGCUGACAGAAAAAAAAAACUUGAAGCUUUAAUCAAUAUAUGUUUUCUUGUAGUGUGGUAAUUAACAUCUAGGAAUGCGUGCUUGAAGUCAACUCUCAUAUUAGAACUUAGAAGAAGCUGUAGAAAUGCAUGAAGGUAAAUGAAACAGUUAUAUAUGCAGACACAAAUGAGUGGAUCAGUCGUCACAGCCAUUAUAGUUAAAUUAUGCAUUAUACAUAUAACCAAAAGUAGUACACUACACAUGAAGACAAAGGAAGGUCCAAUUAAUAUAAAUGUGAUAAUAUAUUUGAAGAAUAAUUUUAUACUCCAUAUAGCAUUUACGAAUUUGAAGUUAUAGGUUCCCAAGAUUUCAUGCUACUACAAGUGCCUUUAAUUAUCAAUCAUACACUCGUAGAACAACGCUCAGUGAUCAAUGUUAAACUUACAGGAGCCAAAGAAGUAAGAAGUAUAAUCAGUAAAUGUGAUCACUCACAAGUAGGCACCUCCAACCAAUUAACCUUUUUAAUUUGUAUGCUUAAUUAUUGGUAAGGGUAAUAUAUAUAUAUAUAUAUAUAUAUAUAUAUAUAUAUAUAUAUAUAUAUAUAUAUAUAUGGAUGAGAAAAUUGACGAUUUAUAAUGAGAUGAAUAUAUCCUAGUUAGCUAGCAGGUGAUCGGCAAAGAAGCUCUGGAACUAGUACGUAAGCCCGUAAUUCAAUAUUGUGAAGGAAAUAAUUAGAGAAUAAUAUAAAAAGUAUGGGGAAAAAAAAUAGAGCGGUAAUUAAGAUUGGUGAGAACUUAGAAACAAAUAUAUCAAAUUAUGGAGCAAGCCAAGAUUCCAAACAUAUCAGUUUAUGUCAUUAUUUCAUCACUCAUUAUUCAAUCAUUCCAGACAACAGUUCUUGGUAUCUGUUGAUAAGAACCAAAAAAGAACAACCAUCAGAAUCGAAUAUAUAAUAUUAAAUUCCCUAUAUACAUAAAAAAAAAAUACUAUGCACAAAUAAUAGAGUGAAUGGAUAAGUUAACUAAUUAAAUCCAGCUAUCACAAAACAUAUGAUCUGUCAUAAUCUUCUUUACAGUAUAGGUAUAGGUGCAGCCAUUUUUCAUGCUCACUUGACUCGUAAUAAAAACUACGAGUUUACGAAUUUAUGAUGAAGAAUCUUAUAAUUAAUUAACCUUAAAACCCGAAAUUGAUGAAUUAUAAUUGUUCAAAUUAAAUUAACUCAAAUGGACUCAACAACUUGGCCAGAAUACGUGUCUAUUUAUUUUAAAGUUGGUUAAAAUUGAUUUUGAUAAAGUGUUAACGUUUAAUGCUGGGUUAAUUGGCGUGAGCGCGUUUUUAUUGAUUUUCUAUGAGUUAGAAGAAACCUAUCUGCUUUAAUUGUUGAUUAAUUAUCACUGCAAAGUCUAGGAUGAGAGCUUGAGAAUAAAACAAGAAGGGUACUGUGAAUAGGUUUCUGUUGGUUGUCACCCUUGUCUGCAAAAGAAUUCGAGGCUAAUUUUCAAUUAGUGUGGCCUGGGAAGGGCUUCACAAUUUUCAGUCCUUUUGCAAAAAGAUUACAAGCUGGUUCCUACUUCCUAGCUACUACUGAAGAUAAAAACGCUUAUUUGGUCUUAGUAGUUUACUUAUUUUUUAGUUUUUUUUAAAAUUUAUUUUAAUAAUAUUGAAGAUAAACUUAUCAAAAUAAUUAAUUAUUUAAACUUAUUUAAAAAAAGUACACAUACAAACUUAUAAUUAAAUAAAUAUUCAUUACAUAAGAAUUUAAUAAAAAUGUAUUUGUCUGACUGCACCUUAAUUAAAUCUAUUAAAUUAUUUUUAAUUGAAGUUUACGUUUUUUUUUUUAAUUUGAAGGGAGGAGUAGAAGUGUAGAACUCUGUACAAGAGGGUUUUUCCCAUGCUAAAACCAGAGAAUUGUAUGUUUCCAGUUGAUGACUCUCUGAUUACACAUUUAUUAGGUUUGAACAUAAUUUCAUAUUCAUUAUCACGCAAUUGAUUAAUGCUCAGAAAGAUUAUACUGCAAACCUUUUAAUCUAUUUGAGUAAAACUAAGUUUACGUACCUAUUUUACCAAUGCCUUUGAUAUGAGCUUGAUUGUUGCCUCCAAAUGAAACUACUCCUCCAUCAUCCUGGUCAAUAUCCAAAAACUUACUUUUGUCUCUAGUCAUGCAUCUGAAACAACCACUGUCCAAGAAUCGAUGUUUUCUUCUUCUAGUUGACAUGAAGCAAUUUUUUGAGGAGGUUGCUUCUAGUACCUUCAUAGGCUGAACUUUGAUAUCAAC